UCGCUCCUACCGAUUUAGUGUUCCUGUGAAUUGUUCGAACUGCAGCAAUCAGUUUCUGGAGAUUGUAGCGGAAAGUUCUGUAAAUAGGGCCACUUAGAGGAAGGAG
rnacentral:rRNA from 1 species